GACAAAAAAGUAGGCACCUGGCAUGAUGCAGGACCUGUGCCCUCUUUCUGGCCUUAUGGCCUUCCUCAUCAGAGCCUUCUAUUGCUCCGCAUGGGCAAAUAAGAAAGAUUCAAGCCAAGGGAAAAUUGAGAUAAUAAUAAACUGUUAAAUACUGAGAGCUCCAGGCUUCUUCCAGAGAAAUGCAUUCUAUUCUAUUCCUCCAUAUUUUUCAAGUCCAGUUAUUAACCAAAACAAAGAAUCUCAGUAGGCAUGAAAGAUGAAAAUGGUUAAAUUUAAAAUUGAGAAUCUUAUUUAUGACACUUUUAUGUCAAAUCUGUUGUGUUGAACCUUUAGUCAUGUUGGGAAAAUGUGGAAGAAAUUUUAGGAAAAGUAAUUGCCAUUGAAGCUAAUGUUAUAUAACCUUGAAUAUAAGAGUAAAUUAGGUAGUGAACAAAUGUUGAGUAUAUUUUCAGAGUCAGGUUGAAAUGCAGAAAGGAAGAGGUGGAGAACAGUUCUAGUUCUUAACAAGAAACACUAUGUAGAUGCAAAUGCACUCUAUAAGGAUUUUGAUGAUUUAUUUUAUUUGCAAAAAAAUCAAGCAGUAUUUUUCCUUUGAAAAUUAUUUUUAAUGAGUCAUAACAUUUUCUGAAUGUUAUUAGAGAAGAUGCUUUGAUCAAACCAGCUAUUGACUUUUAUUUGGGGACCUGAAAAAAUGAGAGUGGUCGCACCUGUCCAGUUUUUAUCCAGUAUCUUUGGCCCAUUGCAUUCUGGCUAAAAUGACGUCAGCGUUUCAUCUGCCACCACAGUAAAACACCUUGGAAAGCCAGCCAGGUGUCCUAUGAACUUUACUACUGGAAGGGGGAAGGUAAAGGAAAACAUUAUUCACCCCUGAAAACCUCGGAGAUAAGCCAGUCACCUCUGUUCCUUUCCAGCCAAAAGGGUUUCUCGUUUCAGAGUCCGCUUAUCAAAACACUGACUCUCAGACCUUUCUAUUUUAUCAAAGGAUCUGCUUUUCCCUGAAUGGUAUGGUUUCUCCACAAGUGAAGAAAUAAGACCUAGUUUUUCUUAAAGACCAGUUUGUAUAGUCUUACCAAAUGAAAAACAUACUAUGUUAGCAAAUGCCACAUUAUGUUUUAAUCCUGCCCUCUGGAUUCUCCUCUGUUGAAAUGAUUUCUGCCUCUUGUCUGUAUGAUGCACUUAAUAUUUUUGUAAGUGUUUUAUGCAAUAUGCAUAAAAUGAUGCAUGUUGUAAAUGUCCUGACGUGGCCUAAUUUCAUUCAGUAUUUUUGUAGUAGUUGUAGAAAAGCUAACUGUAAAGUGCUAUACAGAUAUUAAUUGGGAUAUUAAUUGAAAUUCUAUAUCAGUGACAUGUCCAGCUGUGGGCAUGCUUUAUUUACUCUAGCUUACCUGUGACAUCUCCUCUGGGGCUGACAUGCCAGAGAGGUCAGAACAGCAGCUGAGAAGUGCAUUUGUUUACUGAUAAUAUGUAUUCCCUCAUUUCUUCAUGUGCAAGGGAGAAGAUACAUAACAGAGCUAAUAGAAGUAAAUAAAAUUAUUUAACUGAUACCAGUGGCUCAGUGAAUAUUUUCUGUUGAGAAAAUAACUUGGUAAAAACAAAGGCAAUGCUAUAAAAUGAAUUUUUUUUAAAUGAGUAUUUUUAUCUUUUUGCCUCAGUUAGCUCCCCUUCAUAAAACAAUUUGAGAGACUUUGAUCUAAAGGUAUAACAACAUACUUCUAACAUUAAACGGCUGACUGAAAUAAUUAACAAUUUGGCAGUAUGGUUACCCAUAAUCUUAUUCAUGCCACUGGUGCUCACUAGGCUAAACUCCAUUCUCAAAGUUGUUGGUUCUGACCUAGGAGAUAAGAAAACAUGCUUUAGAAAUGUUAUUUAUUGCCCUAUGAUAAAAUGAAAUGACAAAUCACUCUCAUUCUUAAAAUUAUAUGUCAAGGUUACCUAGCCCUGAUGUAUCCACAUAUAUACAUUCCAGUACUCUGUGUUAUAUACUAAUAUAAUUUCCCAUUUAAAUUGGAUCCAGACAGAUGUGUGUUGAAAGAUCACCCUGAAAAUGAUUCCUUUAGAGUUUUCUUGAUAACAAAUAGGAAAACACACGCUUGUACCAUGAAUAAAUUAAGCUGUGGAGUUUUGUUUCUUGAAAUGAUGUUGUUUGUUUGAGUGAAAACUACGUAUCAGUGCACUUGAGUCAAUUAUAUUUCUUUUAACUUAUUUUUCUUUAUAAUAUGAAAAAAAGUCUUUAAAAGUACUGUAACUUCUGAAUUUUCAAUAAAAUAUUAUUUUGCUUGCAAAUGCCUUUUUAAAAUAA
rnacentral:lncRNA from 1 species